GACCUACUCCCUUCGUUCCAAAUUACUCGUUGCGGAAAUGGAUGUAUCUAGAACUAAAAUACAUUUAGAUACAUCCAUACCUGCGACAAGUAAUUCAGAACGAAGAGAGUAUAUG
rfam:Triticum aestivum genome assembly, contig: Triticum_aestivum_CS42_TGACv1_scaffold_375728_5AL